AAAGACUUGACGGUACUUCAUAACAACCUAGAGGAGCCUGUCUAACAACCGAUACCCCACGAUUAACCCAACCCACUCUAGCCUACCAGUCUAUAUACCGCCGUCGCCAGCUUACCUUGUGAAAGAAAUAAAGUAAACAAAAUAGGCCCCCCCCUAACACGACAGGUCGAGGUGUAACAAAUGAGCGGGUAAAAGAUGGGCUACAUUUUCUAAAACAGAAAAUACGAAUUAACUAUGAAAAUAGAAACUGAAGGCGGAUUUAGCAGUACGUUAGGAACAUAAUGCCAA
rnacentral:rRNA from 1 species